AUUGAACGCUGGCGGCAGGCCUAACACAUGCAAGUCGAGCGAGCGGCGGACGGGUGAGUAAUGUCUGGGAAACUGCCUGAUGGAGGGGGAUAACUACUGGAAACGGUAGCUAAUACCGCAUACCAUCAGAUGCGCCCAGAUGGGAUUAGCUAGUAGGUGGGGUAACGGCCCACCUAGGCGACGAUGCCUAGCUGGUCUGAGAGGAUGACCAGCCACACUGGAACUGAGACCAGGUCCAGACUCCUGCGGGAGGCAGCGGUGGGGAAUAUAGCACAAUGGGCACAAGCCUAAUGCAGCCAUGCCGCGUGUGUGAGAAAGACCUUCGGGUUGUAAAGCACUUUCAGCGGGGAGGCGUUACCCGCAGAAGAAGCACCGGCUAACUCCGUGCCAGCAGCCGCGGUAAUUC
rnacentral:rRNA from 1 species